AUAUUAAUUUACAUAAUAUCUUGAAUGAGGGAGAAGAAAAAGUUAUCACACAACCACUUUAAAAACUCUUUUUUUUGUCCAACUAGAUUCUAAAACUAGUAAUUUCUAUUUCUUUAAAAAAAGAUUCCAACAACAAAACGGCUUCCACAACUCCGAAAAGAGAAUUUCUAUAUCUCGCAUCUACUUAAAUUGUGGGAAUAUGAGAAUCUUUUUCAUUGAAUUGAAAGAAUUUUCUAUUGAAUGGAAGAUGAUUUUACAUCAACAAGUAAAGGAAAAAAGAAAUUAUUUAGUACUUACUUUUGAUACUAAUUCAAAUUGCGUUGCUGUGUCAGAAGAAGGAUAGCUAUACUGAUUCGGUAUACUCUAAAGACGCCCUCGGUACAAUAUUGACGAUCUCACAAAGAUUAAAUUUCAGUUAAUUGUCAUUUACUGAUCUCAUCUUUUACGGAAUCGAUCUUCUUUGACUGUACAAGAAUAUGUGGAGCUCAGCAUGUCUGGAAGCACAGGAGAACGUUCGUUUGCUGAUAUUAUUACCAGUAUUCGAUACUGGGUCAUUCAUAGCAUUACUAUACCUUCCCUAUUCAUUGCGGGUUGGUUAUUUGUCAGCACAGGUUUAGCUUACGAUGUGUUUGGAAGCCCGCGGCCAAACGAGUAUUUUACAGAGAGCCGACAAGGAAUUCCAUUAAUAACUGGCCGUUUUGAUCCUUUGGAACAACUCGAUGAAUUUAGUAGAUCGUUUUAGGAGGCCCUAAUGACUAUAGAUCGAACCUAUCCAAUUUUUACAGUACGAUGGUUGGCUGUUCACGGCCUAGCUGUACCUACCGUCUUUUUUUUGGGAUCAAUAUCAGCAAUGCAGUUCAUCCAACGAUAAACUUAAUCCGAAUUAUAGAGCUACGACACAAUCAAACCCGAACGAACAAAAUGUUGAAUUGAAUCGUACCAGUCUCUACUGGGGGUUAUUACUCAUUUUUGUACUUGCUGUUUUAUUUUCCAAUUAUUUCUUCAAUUAAGAAAACGAAAGAGAAUAAAUAAGAUUCUCUUAGCUCAUUCGGAAGGAUCUCAUAAUUUAAUUAUCCAUGACUGUUUAUGUCUCUAGCAUGACCACUUGAUGAAAUCUGGAGGGAAGUGGGGUAAAUGGCCGAUACUACUGGAAGGAUUCCUCUUUGGAUAAUAGGUACUGUAGCUGGUAUUCUUGUAAUCGGUUUAAUAGGUAUUUUCUUUUAUGGUUCAUAUUCCGGAUUGGGUUCAUCCCUGUAGUAAUCGACUGAAUUGAGUUGUCAACAUGAAAGCGUAAGAACUUAACGGGAUUCCCUUCUUUGUUUGUUUGAUUCGAAGGGGAAGGGCCCGUUGAGUUCUUAAGAAUCAUAAUAUUUUUUUCGUCUAAAUGCUAAAACGGAUUUCUUUUUCUUUUCAAAAACUCCGUUUUUCUCAUUUUUCUGAGCAUGUUUUUGAAAAAUUCACUUCAUUGAGUUAGUCAGACCACCUCUUCUUUUUAUAUGAUAGUAUCUAUCGGUACUUUCAAAGUUGGAAGAAAGAAGGAAGAACUCAAUUUCUUGGCUGCUAUCAUAUAUUAGAUAGCGUGCAAAUCCUUUCUAUACUAAUCUAAUGUAGAACCUUACUCUCUAUAUUACAUUACUCUAUUGAUUUUUUAUUGUUUUCCUAUUUCAUCAUCAAAUUUUUAUAAGAUAAGUUGAUUGAAGAAGUUUUAUUUAAUUAAUAAAAUUUCCUCUCUUUUUUGUUUUGUUUGUCCACCAAUUCAUAUAUUAUAUGUAAGGGGGUAGGUGUAGGGUUUCUGAUACAUCUGGAAAAAUUGAAACCAAGACUAGGAAUUUUUAACAAACAGGAUCAAGAAUCAUUACUCUUUCGUUUCGACACAAGAAAAAAGGAUUUUUCUACACCCCUUUCUUGUGUCGAAGACUAGGAAGACAAAUAAUCCCUCCUAGAAUUUUUUCUUCCCCGCAUUUAUCCCCCGCUUCCUUAUGUCUAGUAUUUAGACAAAUUUGACUUUCUUUCUAUUUAGAAUAGAAAACUAUUGAUACGUUUUAUGGCAGUGAAAUCUGGCAAUAGUAACAUAGUUACACUACUCCAAUUAAAAAAAAACUAAAUCAAAAUAAAUGAAAGCCAAAUACUCUUCUUCAAAAUCUACAUACUAUGUGGUACAAGGGAUUCCCAGCAUCUCGUAGAAAAAGAGUAUGUAAUGUAGAUUUUGAAGAAGAGUAUAAAUAAGACAAAGGAGUUUUCAUAAUUUCAUUUUUUUGAUCAUAAAUAAUCGCCAACAAGAAUUUGGUUCUUUUUACGUACUUGAUAUCGAUAAAUCUGCGAAUCUAGAAAUUCAUUUCGGCCAAUUGAACCUUCUCGAACUGUUUCUUUUUAAGAACCAAAAAGAUUUGUGCCAAAAUAACAGAUGCCAAGAAGAACAAAAGUCCUUGGACACGUAAUGGAUCUUGAAGUACUAUUUCUGCAUCUCCCUGACCAAAUCCGCCUACAUUAGGAUUACUCGUUAAUGGUUGAUCAAAUUUGAUAGAUUCGCCCUCGGAAACAAGAAGUUCUGGUCCGGGAGGGAUAAUAUCAACCACUUGACGUCCCUCCGACGCAUCCGUUAUGGUUAUCUCAUACCCCCCUUUUUCUUUUCGUAUGAUUUUGCUUACUAUACCUGCUGCUGUAGCAUUAUAAACUGUAUUGUUACUCUUGUUGCCGUCGGGAUAAAUCUGACCCCUUCCCCUGUUCCCGCCUACGUAUAUAGGAUAUUUUAAGAAGUGAACAUCCUUCUUAGUAGCAGGGUCCGGGGAAAGAAUAGGGAAGGUUAUUUCACUAUAUUUUUUACCAGGGACAGGGCCUACCACAAGAAUAUUUGUUUUAUUGGGGCGAUAGCUCUGAAAAGACAAAUUGCCAAUCUUUUCUUUCAUCUCAGGAGAAAUACGAUCGGGAGGAGCUAAUUCAAACCCCUCCGGUAAAAUAAGAACAGCUCCGACGUUCAACCCCCCUUUUUUACCAUUAGCAAGAACCUGUUUCAGUUGCAUAUCAUAAGGAAUUCGAACAACUGCUUCAAAUACAGUAUCAGGAAGUACCGCUUGUGGAACCUCAAUUUCCACGGGCUUAUUAGCUAAAUGGCAAUUGGCACAUACAAUACGCCCAGUCGCUUCUCGUGGAUUUUCAUAACCCUGCUGUGCAAAAAUGGGAUAUGCACUUGAAAUGGACGUCCGAGUUAAGAUAUAUAUCAUGAGCGAUACGGAAAUAGAUCGAGUAAUCUGUUUCUUUAGCCAAGAAAAAGCAUUUCUAGUUUGCAUGGUCCAAUCAUUGAUCGCGAAAAUUUCUACAAUAAAUUGGGUAGGUCGCUAGUAUAGUUCCCUAGCCACGAUUCUGCUAUUUGCUGGAAUAAUCUAGGAUGAAUCUUCCCGAUGGUUAGAAAUAGGAAGAGUAAAUAUGAUUUUCAAUACUUUGCUUAUGUACAACUACAAAGUACUAAGCAUUCUAAUUGGAUUAGAUUAAUAUCAAUGGAUCCUUUAUCAUUCAGUUAUUGAAUCAUAAAGCAGUAAAAUUGACGGAGACAGACUAGUUAAAUAACGGAAAAGCCAAUAUUUAAAACAUGUAUCAAAAAUUACUGGAAGGAUGCAAACAAGAAUAGUUAUAGUUUGCUCAUUCGCAACAACUCCAACCUCGUUAUAGAUAGAGCGUAUAACGAAUUCCCAACCUGGGGGUGAAUGAUAUCCGAGAAAAAACUCACUUACUAGAAGAAUACACAAAGCUUUUGCUGUGUCACUUAAGUUAUAUAGGAAUUCCUGAGCCCAAGAGUUAAGAAUAACAAGUUUUUCCUUACCCAAAAUUGAAUACCCGCUUAGAAUACCAAACCAGAUUAUAUUUGUUGAGAAGUGCAAAAUCGUAUCCAUACGAUUCUCAUUUUGUAUCGUGAUUAAUUGGAUCGUUUCUUUAUGGAUUCCUAUCCCAAACUCUUCGAGAUGUGUUUCCGAGUAUUCCUUGAUCAUUUCGUCCAAGAAGAGGAGUUCCUCUAAUUCUCUGAAUUUUUCUAGAAGACUCUUUUCUUGAAUAUUAUUCAAGACAAUUUGGGAUUGCCCAGUAUUCCACCAAUUAGUAACCCAAGAUUCCAGCCAUUUAUUAACUGAGAAAGAAAUCCACCAGGGCAAAAAUACUAUAGAUGCAAGAUAGAAAAGAGGAGUGAAUGCUUUCUUUUUUGCCAUUUUUUCGUCUGUAAAUUGUUAAUCAACCCAUUCGUACACUCUAUGCGAUCGAAUAUUUCUUACACACAUGAGUUUUAUACAAGGUAUCGAACUUAUGAAUCUAUUUUCUUUGUGAUUUUGUGGUUAGUCUUUGAAUCUAGAAAGAAUACAGAAAUAGGCUAAGAAUUCACUUCGAAUGAAGAAAUUGAGAAUAUUGUUUCCUGAUAUCUCAAUUGGUCAAAUUAAAAAUUAAGUGUAUCCUUUCGAUGAAUGACCGAAAGAACCACUUUAAGUAAUGAAUAUUAUUCAGAUUUUGAGACGAAAGAACUCCUUUGCUAUCAAAAUAUCCAAUAUUUCGAAAAAAUUUCAUUGAUUACCCAUAGUCAGGAAUAGAAUAAUUGAGGGAAAGAUAUUAGGAUGAUAAAAAAAAAAUGACUAGCAAAGGAUAAAUUGGCUAGUUCUCAGUAUUUAAUUAAGAAAUCCAAUUGUUGGUCAUUAAAGAAUACAAAAGAAAGAAUUUCAAAUUUACAAGAUACGAUCUAUCUGGAUCUAAAGUGUCAAUUCCAACAAAUAUUGAACUAAAAAAAAUUCUUGCUUUCGAAAUGGUUUGCCGUCUGAGAUGAAUCUAUUAUUUCGAUUUGUUAUUUGUUAUUGAAUUGCGUGCACAUAAAGACCAUAAAAAGAGUUUCGUUUUAUGGUUCUUUCAUAUACGUUUUCUUUAAUUGAAUGAACGUUCUGAUUCUCAAUUUAUCAAAAUACUUCAAUUGGUACACGCAAGAAAUAGGCUAAUUCAGCAGCCUUUUGUUCAAUUUCUCGUGGAGUCAAAUUCUCAUCAGUACGGGUCAAGGGAAUGGACCCCUGGCCUCGGAUGUCCAUAUAAAGAACACGACGAGCAUAAAUACCCUCUUUAACUUCUAUUCUAACGGACUGAAUAUCUUUUAUAAGGAAUCGGAGGAAUAUGCGACGAUUUUUUCCCGGAAAUCCCCAACGAAAGAUACAGACUAUUCCCUCCUUUCUAUCGAAUCGAUCAUAACCACUACCUACAUUCCAGGAAAUUGUGCACCACAAAUAAGAGCUAAUAAAGAGACCCGCAAUUCCGUAGAAAGACAUCACGAUUCCUUGUGGAAAAAAAAUGAUUUGCUGAGGCGGAAAAAAAGAUAGCAAAUUUCUACCAAGAUAACUGGAAGUUCCAACUAAUAAGAAGCCUAAUGAACCUAAAAAAAGGAUCAAGGCCCAGCAGAAAUUACUUAUUUUUCGAGACCCCGUUAUAAGUUCUAUCCAUAUAUCGUCUGAUCGCCAAGUCAUACUUUACUCGAUUGCAUUUUAUUGGAAUUGAGAUAAUACCCCAGAAAAAUUUGACUUUACUUUUUUGUUUCCGAAGUAACUCUCAUCAACUAGCACUAGUUUGAGGUGAACUAGCACUAGUUUGAUGUCAACCUUUAGGAGUAAUUCAUCAAAUUGGUUAAAUCUAAAAUAAUAACAUACUCUUUAUUUAAUACGAUCCCACUAUACAUAUCGAUAUACAUAUAGAUUCACCGACUACAUUUCAGCCAUCCAGAGAUCCUGAUCUAUUUGAAAAUUGCUAGAAUUGAUAUAUCCAUAUAUCAUGUUUCUGCGGGCAUAAGAGUUUUUUCCUUUAUGUUCGGUGGAAAUCACAUGUUAUACUAUACUCCAAUAAAUAGAUAUCCGUGUUAUGAUACAAGUCCACGUUUUCAAAAAAAAAAAUGGAUGAGAUUGGGUCCCAGCGGAUCUAAACAAUCUUGUUUUUUUGAACAUGAAGAAAUAAAGAAGCCAUUGCAAUUGCCGGAAAGACUAGGCCUACUAACGGCACAAAAAUAGAUGGAAGGUUCAAAUUUGUCAUAGAAGGGGUACCUCGAUUUACUAUUUGUAUCUGUUAUUAUGUUAUUAUAUAAAUAAAGAUAUCUUGUAAUAAUUAUAAUUAAAUUAAGAAUUUGAAUUCUAAUUAGAUAUUAGAUAAUAUUUAUUAUUAAUAGAAUUUGAAGAAUUUGAAAUUCUUAGUAUAGAUCGAAGUAUCGAUAUAUCUAAAUCUAACUGAGUACGUAUAAUAAGAAUAAGUGCAAAGAAUGUAGAACUGUAGAACUAAAUAAAUGGACUUAUUCAUCUCCUCCAUGAGAAAGAUAUGUAUGAUAAUAAACUUUAUUAUUUUUCUUCAUUUCUUUGUCUUUUGUUCUUGUCUUCUACUUUUCUAAAAAUAGAUAAAGAGUUUUUUACAGAUUAUCGACGGAUUCAUUCGAAUCCGACCCAACAUGGAUUUUUAGCUAAAAUGGUUUUUCGGUAGAUAGAGAAAGAUACAAAACUCUAUUAUCUCUAUUGAAAUUUCAAAUUAUAUACCUAAGACAAGACCAAAUUCGUUUUAUUUUACUAAUUUCACGAAAGGAAGAACUCACUCUUGGUGAUAAAGGUUUCUUGAUUCGUAAUCAGGAAUAUAGGUCAAAAAAAGAGUUAUCCUCAACUUUCGUUUUAAUUCUUUCUACAAUUCGAUCUUCUAUCACCAAAGAAAAGGCCAUUAUUAUCUUAUUUACUUUGAUUCCGAUAAACUAACUACUUUUUGCUACAAACACAAAAAAAAUAAUUGAACUUAGUGCUCUACUUGAUUUUGCUUGACUUUUGAUUCAAAGGAAAAAAGGCGUGGAGCUUAAAUAACUCACUCAGAACGCUUUUUAAAAGAUUACGUGGUACAAUUAGGUCGAAUAAACCCUUCUGGAAUAAGUAUUCAGCUGCUUGUGAACCUUCGGGUACUGUUUUAUUCAAUGUUUGUUCAAUUACUCUUUUACCUGCAAAUGCAAUGUAGGCAUUGGGUUCGGCAAUAAUGAUAUCCCCCAACAUACCAAAACUAGCUGUCACUCCACCAGUUGUCGGAGAUGUAAGGAUUGAUACAUAAAAUAAUUUUUUAUUUAAUUGAUAAUCAUAUAAAGCAGACGAUAUUUUAGCCAUUUGCAUCAAGCUCAAACUUCCUUCCUGCAUGCGCGCCCCCCCAGAAGCACACACUAUCAUAAGAGGUAAAUUUUGAUUGGCAGCGUGUUCAAUCAAACGGGUGAUUUUCUCUCCGACUACGGAUCCCAUACUACCCCCCAUAAACUGAAAAUCCAUAACCCCAAUUGCUACGGGAAUGCCGUUUAGUUGGCCUAUGCCUGUUUGAACAGCCUCGGUUAAUCCUGUCUUUCUUUGAUAAGAAUCAAUACGGUCCUUAUAAGGCUCCUCCUCCGAAUGAAAUUCAAUGGGAUCCAGCGAGACCAUGUCUUCAUCCAUAGGAUCCCAAGUACCCGGAUCGAUCAAAAGUUCAAUUCUAUCCGAACUACUCAUUUUCAAAUGAUAUCCACAUUGUUCACAAAUAUUCAUUUUUGAUUUCAAAAAUUUCUUAUAAUUUAAUCCAUAACAAUUUUCGCAUUGAACCCACAAAUGCUUGUAUUUUUGAGUUACCUCGAGAUCAUUAGAACUUUCUCUUAUAGUUAAAUCACUGUCCUUUGUGCGAGUUCGUCUACUGGAACCCUCGUUUUCACUACUAUUUAGACUUUGACCACUACAAAUGGCCCUAUAAAUGUAACUGUCACCGUUACUCUCACUACCACUUAUAAUGGAAGUAUCUAUACAGAUUUGAGACUGAAGAUAAUUAUCAAUGCAACUAUUAAUGUGAUUAUUCCAACUAUAUUGAGUAUCAUACAUGUAAGAAUUAUAGUAGGGAUCUUCGCCCCUAAAUCCAUUAUUCAGAUAACUCGAGUUUCGAUAACUAUAAAAAGAACUUUCUAGUUCACUCAGAAAAGAAUGAUCGUUGUCAACCUCAAAAAUAUGAUUUUCAAUAUCAAAAUAGAUGGAAUAACUGUCCCCAUUCCUAUCACUAACUAAAAAAGUGUCAUUAGAGAUGAAAUUCCAAAUGUCUUUAACGCCGAAUAAAUAAUCAACAUUACUGCAACUAUGAAUGUUUUUCACUUUUAGAUUUGGAUCUUCACUGGUAUUUUCAAUAGGACCAAGACUGCCCAUUGAUUUAUUUAGCCCACACCUGCGUUCGAACUCCUUCUUAAACAACAUCGAAUUAAACCACCAUCUUUCCAUAGAGUUUUCUUGCCCCCUAUUUGCAUGAAAAUACAAUAGAUGAAUAGUCAUUCGCUAUAAAAUUCUUUAUUUGAAUAUCUUAUUUCCUAUCAGACUAAGCAUAGAAAUCCAAUCACUAGGAUUAUUAACUAAUACGGAUUGUGAGUAUUCAAAAAAAGUUCUGAAUCUGGGGGAACACUUCACUAUAUAUUAAUAUGUUGGAACCCCCUUUUAUUAUUAAAAAGAAUAUAAAAAUAAUAGAAUUUUUGAUAAAGGGCGGCUUCUCCUAUGUCGUGUCAAAUUCGCAUCGAAAAAAAGAGAUUUGUCCUCUCUUAUAAAUAUAAAGAAAUAAAAAAAAUUCGUAAAAUCUCGUCUAAUACUAAUAUCUAAUCACUAACUAAUCUAACAAUCUAAAAUCUAAUAAUAAGUAAUAAAUUAAGGUUCUAUUUCAACACGGAACAAAGGGGACAAUAUACAGGAUGGGUAGAAAGAGUUGGAAUACUUGGCUUGAUUCAGGGAAACUACAAACUACAGGAUAGAAAAGAAUAUACCAAUCCUAAGGAUCCGUAGGAUUAAUUGUGGAUCCAAGACAAUAAUAGAAAGAUUUGAGUCUUAGAUUUUGAUUUAGUUUUCUAGAUUUUGUAUUUCAAAUCUUGAUCAAAAUAUAUGCAAUAGAAUCUUAGUUGUAUUCGGCCCAAUCUUUUACUAAAAGGAUUGAGCCGAAUUAAAUUGUAAUGUAAUUCAAUUAAGAGAACGAAGGAUAAUUACUUGAGUUCUUUCUCCUUAUCCUUCUUUAUUUCCUGCUAAUUUAUCUGCUAAUGUCUACUGUUUUUACUUAUCCAAAACGUCCACUGCUGCAAAAUUAAAUACGAUCUCUUUCCAUACCUCACAAGCAGCAGCUAGUUCCGGGCUCCAUUUGCAAGCCUCGCGAAUAAUCUCAUUACCUUCCCGAGCAAGAUCACGUCCUUCAUUACGAGCUUUUACACAUGCUUCUAGAGCUACUCGAUUAGCUACGGCACCUGGCGCAUUACCCCAAGGAUGUCCUAAAGUUCCUCCACCGAACUGUAGUACGGAAUCAUCCCCAAAGAUCUCGGUCAGAGCAGGCAUAUGCCAAACGUGAAUACCUCCUGAAGCCACAGGUAGAACACCUGGUAAAGAGACCCAAUCUUGAGUGAAAUAAAUACCGCGACUUCUAUCUUGUUCAACAAAAUCAUCACGCAGUAAAUCAACAAAGCCCAAAGUUAUGUCUCUUUCACCUUCAAGUUUACCUACUACGGUACCAGAGUGAAUAUGAUCUCCACCAGACAUACGUAACGCUUUUGCUAAUACCCGGAAGUGGAUACCAUGAUUCUUCUGUCUAUCAAUAACCGCAUGCAUUGCACGGUGGAUGUGAAGAAGUAGACCAUUAUCUCGGCAAUAAUGAGCCAAGGUAGUAUUUGCGGUAAAUCCCCCCGUUAAGUAGUCAUGCAUUACGAUCGGAACGCCCAAUUCUCUAGCAAAUACAGCUCUUUUGAUCAUUUCUUCGCAUGUACCUGCAGUAGCAUUCAAGUAAUGCCCUUUGAUUUCACCUGUUUCAGUCUGUGCUUUAAAAAGUGCUUCGGCACAAAAUAAGAAACGAUCUCUCCAACGCAUAAAUGGUUGUGAGUUCACGUUCUCAUCAUCUUUGGUAAAAUCAAGUCCACCGCGAAGACAUUCAUAAACAGCUCUACCGUAGUUUUUUGCAGAUAACCCCAAUUUAGGUUUAAUAGUACAUCCCAACAGGGGACGACCAUACU
rnacentral:lncRNA from 1 species